ensembl:snRNA U6 U6 spliceosomal RNA
GUUCUCUAGCUUUGACAGCACAUAUACUCAAAUUGGAAAAAUAGAACAAAUAGUAGUAGUAUGACCUCUGCACAAAGGUGACAUGCAAAUUUUUGAAUCAUUCUUGUUUUUU